ensembl:lncRNA
GUUGGUUCGGGCAUGUCCGGCAGGUGGUUCUGUGGAGUGCAUCAGGUGGUUCCGGCAUACUCGGCAGGUGGUUCCAGCAUGUCCGGCACAUGGUUCUGGAACGUCUGAGCGGUGGUUCCGGCAUGCCCGGCAGGUGAUCCCGGAGAGUCCUCCAAGUGGUUCUGGCGUACCCCGCAGGUGUUUCUGGUGUGUCCGGCAGGUGGCUCUGGUGAGUCGAGCAGGUGGUUCCAGCGUGCUCGGCAGGUGGUUCAGGCAGGUCCGGCAGGAUUUUGCAGUCUGUCCAUGACGUGGUUCCGGCAUGCCCGCAAGGUGAUUCUCAAGUGUCCCCCAAGUGGUUUUGGCGUUGCCGGCAUAUGAUUUUGGCCUGUCAGUCAGGUGGUUCCGGUAUGUCCAGCAGGUGGUUCCGGCGAGCUCGGCAGGUGCUUCCGGUCUCUCCGGCACGCGGUUCUGGCACCUCUGAGAGGUGGUUCCGGCAUAUGCGGCAGGUGGUACCGGCGUGUCGAGCCGGUGGUUGGGGCAUGUCCGGCAGGUGGUUCUGGGGAGUGGAUCAGGUGGUUCCGGCAUACUCGGCAGGUGGUUCCGGCGUGUCCAGCACAUGGUUCUGGCGUACCCGGCAGGUGAUUUUGGCAUCUCCGGCAGGUGUUUCUUGCAAGUCGAGCAGGUGGCUCAAGCAUGCUCAGCAGGAGCUUCCGGCAUCUGUGGCACGUGUUUCUGGUGUGUCUGAGAGCUGCUUCUGGCAUUUCCGGCAGAUGAUUCCGGAGUGUCCACCAAGUGGUUCUGGCGUAGCUGGCAGGUGAUGUUGGCGUGACCAGCAGGUGGUUCCAGCAAGCGCGGCAGGUGAUACCGAAGUGUUCACCAACUGGUUCUGGCAUAGCCGGCAGGUGAUUUUGGCGUGUCCGGGAGGUGAUUCUGGCGAGUCGAGCAGGUGGUUCCGGCGUGCUCAGCAGGUGCUUCUGGUGUCAUUGGCACGUGGUUCUGGCAUGUCUGAGAGGUGCUUCCGGCAUGCCCAGCAGGUGAAUCCGGAGUGUUUGCCAAGUGGUUCUGGCGUAGCCGGCAGUUGAUUUGGCAUGUCCGGCGGUGGUUCUGGCGAGUCGAGCCGGUGGUUCCGGCAUGUCCGGAAUGUGGUUCCGGUCUGUCCGGGAGAUGUUUCCGGCCUGUCCGGCACGUGCUUCGGGCACGUCUGAGAGGUUGUGCUGGCAUGCCCGGCUGGUGAUUCUGGAGUGUCCGCCAAGUGGUUCUGGUGUAGCCGGCAGGUGAUUUCGGCGUGUCCGGCAGGUGGUUCUGUGGAGUGGAUCAGGAACUUCCGGCAUUCUCGGCAGGUGCUUCCGCCGUCUCCGGCAUGUGUUUGUGGCACCUCUGAGAGGUGGUUCCAGCAUGCCCAGCAGGUGAUUCCGGAGUGUCCGACAAGUGGUUGUGGCAUAGCCGGCUGGUGAUUUUGGCGUGUGCGGCAGGUGGUUCUGGCGAGUCAAGCAGGUGGUCCCGGCGUGUCCUGCAGGUGGUUCCAGUCUGUCCUGGAGGUGGUCCCGGAGUCUGUGCCGAGUUGUUUUGGCGUAGCCGGCAGGUGAUUUUUUCGUGUCCAGCAGGUGGUUCUGGGGACUGGAUCAGGUGGUUCCGGCAUACUCGGCAGGUGGUACCGGCGUGUCCGGAACAUGGUUCUGGCAAGUCUGAGAGGUGGAUCUGGCAUGCGCGGCAGGUGAUUCCGGAGUGUCCACCACUUGGUUCAGGUUUAGCUGGCAGGUGAUUUUGGCGUGACCGGCAGGUGGUUCCAGCAAGCGCGGCAGGUGAUUCCGAAGUUUUCACCAACUGGUUGUGGCGUAGCGGGCAGGUGCUUUUGGCGUGUUCGGCAGGUGGUUCUGGCGAGUCGAGCAGGUGGUUCCGGCGUGCUCAGCAGGUGCUUCCGGUGUCAUUGGCAUGUGGUUCUGGCAUGCCUGAGAGGUGGUUCCGGCAUGCCCACCAGGUGAUUCCGGAAUGUUCGCCAAGUGGUUCUGGCGUAGCCGGCAGUUGAUUUUACAUGUCCGGCGGUGGUUCCGGCGAGUCAAGCCGGUGGUUCCGGCGUGUUCGGAAGGUGGUUCCAGUCUGUCCUUGAGAUGGUUCCGGCCUGUCCGGCACGUGCUUCGGGCACGUCUGAGAGGUUGUGCUGGCAUGCCCGGCUGGUGAUUCUGGAGUGUCCGACAAGUGAUUCUAGCGUAGCCGGCAGUUGAUUUUGGCGUGUCCGACAGGUGGUUCUGUGGAGUGGAUCAGGAACUUCCAGCAUUCUCGGCAGGUGCUUCCGCCGUCUCCGGCAUGUGUUUGUGGCACCUCUGAGAGGUGGUUCCAGCAUGCCCGGCAGGUGAUUCCGGAGUGUCUGACAAGUGGUUUUAGCGCAGCCGGCUGGUGAUUUUGGCAUGCCCGGCAGGUGGUUCUGGCGAUUCAAACAGGUGGUCCCAGCGUGUCCGGCAGGUGGUUCCGGUCUGUCCUGGAGGUGGUUCCCGAGUGUCUGGCGAAUGGUUCUGGCGUAUCCUGCAGGUGAUUUUCGUGUGUCCAGCCAGUGGUUCUGGGGAGUGGAUCAGGUGGUUCCGGCAUACUCUGCAGGUGGUUCCGGCGUGUCCUGCACAUGGUUCUGGCACGUCUGAGAGGUGGUUCCGGCAUUCCCGGCAGGUGAUCCCGGAGAGUCCUCCAAGUGGUUCUGGCAUACCCCGCAGGUGUUUCUGGUGUGUCCGGCAGGUGGCUCUGGUGAGUCGAGCAGGUGGUUCCGGCGUGCUCGGCAGGUGCUUCUGGCAGGUCCGGCAGGUGUUUGCCGUCUGUCCAUGACGUGGUUCCGGCAUGCCCGCAAGGUGAUUCUGGAGUGUCCACCAAGUGGUUUUGGCAUAGCCGGCAUAUGAUUUUGGCCUGUCAGGCCACUGGUUGCGGCAUGUCCCGCAGGUGGUUCCGGCGAGCUCGGCAGGUGCUUCCGGGCUCUCCGGCACGUGGUUGUGGCACGUGUGAGAGAUGGUUCUGGCAUGCCCGGCAGGUGACUCCGGAGUCUCCGGCAUGUGGUUCUGGCUCCUCUGAGGGAUGGUUCCGGCAUGCCCAGCAGAUGAUUCCGGAGUGUCUGCCGAUUGGUUCUGGCGUAGCUGGCAGGUGAUUUUUGCGUGUACAGCAGGUGGUUCUGGGGAGUGGAUCAGGUAGUUCCGGCAUACUCAGCAGGUGGUACUGGCGUGUCCGGAACAUGGUUCUGGCAAGUCUGCGAGGUGGUUCCGCCUGCCCGACAGGUGAUUCCGGAGUGUCCGCCAAGUGGUUCUGGUGUACCCGGCAGGUGAUUUUUGCGUGUCCGGCAGGUUGUUCGGGUGUGUCUGAGAGCUGGUUCUGGCAUGUCCGGCAGAUGAUUCCAGAGUGACCACCAAGUGGUUCUGGCAUACCCGGCCGGUGGUUUUUGCGUGUCAGGUAGGUGGUUCUGGCGAGUCGAGCAGGUGGUUUCAGUGUGCUCGACAGUUGGCUCAGGCGGGUCUGGAAGGUGGCUUCAGUCUGUUCAGGGUGUGGUUAUGGCAUCUCAGGCACAAGGAUCUGGCACGUCCGAGAGGUGGUUCUAGCCGGCCCGACUGGUGUUUCCGGAGUGUCCACCAAGUGGUUCUGGCGUAGCUGGCAGGUGAUGUUGUUGUGACCGGCAGGUGUUUCCAGCAAGCCCGGCAGGUGAUUCCGAAGUGUCCAGCAACUGGUUGUCGCGUAGCCGGCAGGUGCUUUUGGCGUGUCUGGUGGUGGUUCCGCGGGUCAAGACAUUUUUCCGUCGUGUCCGGCAGUUGGUUCCCGUCUGUCCGGCAGGUGGUUCUGGGGUUUCCGGCACGAGGUCCUGGCACGUCUGAGAGGUUGUGUUCGCAUGCCCAUCACGUGAUUCUGGCUUGUCUGCCAAGUGGUUGUGGUGUAGCGGGCAGGUGAUUUUGGCGUGUCCAGCUGUUGGGACCGGUGAGUCAAGCAGGUGGUUCUGGCGAGUGUUUCCUGUGGUUCCGGUUUGUCCAGGAGAUGGUUCCGGCCUGUCUGGCACAUGCUUCGGGCACGUCUGAGAGGUUGUGCUGGCAUGCCCGGCAGGUGAUUCAGUAGUGUUCGCCAAGUGGUUCUGGCAUACACGGCAGGUGAUUUUGACGUGUGAGGUAGGUGGUUCCAGCGAGUCGAGCAGGUGUUUCCGGCAUUCUCGGCAGGUGGUUCAGGAGGGUCUGGCAGGUGGUUUCCGUCUGUUCGUGUUGUGGUUCCGGCAUCUCAUGCACAUGGUUCUGGCACGUCUGAGAUGUGGUUCCGGCCGGCCCGACAGUUGUUUCCGCAGUGUCCGCCAAGUGGUUCUGGCGUAGUUGGCAGGUGAUUUUGGCAUGACCGGCAGGUGGUUCCGGCAGGCCCGGCUGGUGAUUCCGGAGUGUUCGGCAAGUGCUUCUGGCGUAGCCGGCAGGUGAUUUUGCAUGUCCGGCAUUGGUUCCGGAGGGUCGAGCCAGUGUUUCCGGCAUGUCCAGCUGGUGGUUGCGGUCUGUAAGGCAGGUGGUUCUGGGGUUCCCGGCACGAGGUUCUGGCACGACUGAGAGGUUCUGCCAGCAUGCCCUUCACGUGAUUCCGGCUUGUACCCCACGUGGUUCUGGUGUAGCGGGCAGGUGAUCUUGGCGUGUCCGGCAUGUUGGACCGGUGAGUCAAGCAGGUGGUUCUGGCGACUGUUUCCUGUGGUUCCGCUCUGUCCAGGAGAUGGUACCGGCCUGUCCAGCACGUGCUUCUGGCACUUCUGAGAGGUUAUGCUGGCAUGCCCCGCAGGUGAUUCCGGAGUGUCCGCCAAGUGGUUCUGGCAUACCCGGCAGGUGAUUUUGCCAUUUCCGGCAUGUGGUUCCAGCGAGUCGAGCAUGCGGUUCCGGCGUGCUCGCCAGUUGGUUCAGGCAUGUCCGGCAUGUGGUUCCAGUCUGUCCGGGAGGUGGUUCUGGCAUGUCCGGCACGUGGUUCCGGCACGUCUGAAAGGUGGUUCUAUCAUGCCCGGCAGGUGAUUCCAGAGAGUCCACCAAAUGGUUUUGGCGUAGCCGGCAGGUGAUUAUGACGUGUCCGGCAGGUGGUUCAGGCGAGAUGAACACGUGGUUCCGACGUGCUCGGCACGUGCUUCCGGCGUCUCCGGCACGUGGUUCUAGCACAUCUGACAGGUGGUUCCAGCAUGCCCGAAAAGUGAUUCCGGUCUGUCCGGUACGUGGUUCCGGCAUGUACGGCACAUGGUUCUGGUACAUCUCAGACGUGGUUGCGCAUUCGCCCACAGGUGAUUCCGGACUGUCCUCCACGUGGUUCUGGCACGUCUGAGAGGUGGUUCCAGCAUGCCCGGCAGGUCAUCCCUGAGAGUCCUCCAAGUGGUUCUGGCGUAGCCCGCAGGUGAUUUUGGCGUGUCUGGCAGGUGGUUCCGUCGUGCUCAGCAGGUGGUUCAGGCGUGGCCGGCAGGUGGUUCCAGUCUGUCCAGUACGUGUUUCCAGCUUGUGCGGCAUGUGGUUCUGGUACGUCUGAGAGUUGGUUCCGCCAUGGCUGGCAGGUGAUUCCGGACUGUCCCCCAGGUGGUUCUGGCAUACCAAGCAGUUGAUAUUGGCCUGUCAGGCAGGUGGUUCCAGCGAGUAGAGAAGGUGGUUCCGUUCUGUCCUAUAGGUCAUUCCGGCAUGUCCGGCACGUGCUUCUGGCACGUCUGAGAGGUGGUUCUGGCAUGCGAGGCAGGUGAUUCCGGAGUGUCGUGUAAGUGGUUCUGGUGUAGCCGGCAGUUCAUUUUGGCAUGUACGGCACGUGGGUCCUGAGAGUCGAGCAGGUGGUUUCGGUGUGCUCGGAAGGUGGUCCAGGCGUGUCCGGCAUGUGGUUCCAGUCUGUCCAGGACGUGGUUCCAGCGUGUCCGGCACGUGGUUCUGUUACCUCUGAGAGGUGGUUCCUGCAUGCCUGGCAGGUGCUUCCGGACUUUCUGCCAGGUGGUUCCCGCAUAGCCAGCUGUUGAUUUUGGCCGGUCCGGCAGAUGUUUCCGGCGAGUCGAGCAGGUGGCUCCGGCGUGCUCAGCAGGUGCUUCCGGGGUCAUUGGCACGUGGUUCUGGCAUGUCUGAGAGGUGGUUCCGGCAUGCCCGGCAGGUGAUUCCGGAGUGUUCGCCAAGUGGUUCUGGCAUAGCCGGCAGGUGAUUUUGCAUGUCCGGUGGUGGUUCCAGUGAGUCGAGCCGGUGGUUCCGGCGUGUCCGGCAGGUGGUUGCGGUCUGUCCGGCAGGUGGUAUUGGGGUGUCCGGCACGAGGUUCUGGCACGUCUGAGAGGUUGUGUCGGCAUGCCCUUCACGUGAUUCCGGCUUGUCCCCCAAGUGGUUCUGGCGUAGCCGGCAGGUGGUUUUGCAUGUCCAGCUGUGGUUCUGGCGUGUCGAGCUGGUGGUUCUUUCGUGUCCAGCACGUGGUUCUGGUAUGUCUGAGAUGCGGUUCCGGCAUGGCUGGCAGGUGAUUUCGGCGUGUCUGCCAUGUUGUUCUGGCAUAGCCAGCAGGUGAUUAUGGCGUGUCCGGCACAUGGUUCCAGUGAGUCGAGCAGGUUAUUCCUGUGUGCUUGGCAUGUGCAUCUGGUGUUUCCGGCAGUUGGUUCCGGCGUGUCAGGAAUGCGGUUGUGGCAAGUUUGAGAGGUGGUUCCUGCAUGCCCGCAGGAGAUUCCAGAUUGUACACCAAGUGGUUCUGGUGGAGCCAGCAGGUGAUUUUGGCGUGUCCAGCAGGUGGGUCCUGCGUGUCGAGCAGGUGGUUCCUGCAUGCUCGGCAAGUGGUUCCGGUGUGUCCGGCAGGUGCUUCUGGUCUGUCAGGUAGCUGGUUCCGGCAUGGCCGGCACGUGGUUCUGGCACGUCUGUGAGGUGCUUCGGGCGUGGCCGGCAGGUGAUUCCUGGGUGUCCGCCAAGUGGUUCUGGCAUCACCUGGAGGUUAUUUUGGUGUGUCCGGCAGGUCUUUCCUUCUUUUUGGGCUCGUGGCUGUGGCUUGUAAGACAGAUGCUUGUGGCAUUUCUGGCCCCCGUUCUUUCAUACUCCUCAGCUGGUUUCAGUGUUUCUGGCACCUGUUUGUGGCAUAUCCAACAGGUGUUUACAAUGUGUCUGGCAUGUCGUUGUGCUAUGUUUGGAAUCUGGUUCCGUCAUGUCAUUGUGUGGGGCUGGCAUGUUGAAGAGAUGGUUCUGCAGUGUCAGAAUCGCUGUUCCACUGUGUCCGGCAGGUGGUUACAGGUGGUUAUGGCAUGCAACGUGGGUGCUUCUGGUAUGCCUGUUGGGUCAUACUGGCAUGAAUGUGUGGCCCUUUGAGAACGUGUGGAGGGUGUUCUUGGCAUGUCUCCCAGGUUUUUCUGGCACAUAAGGGGCAUGAUUCCUUUUUAUACAUCAGGUGAGUUUGUUCUCAGCUUCCUAAAGAGAUGGAAGGAAGAUGGUCUGUGGCUUGUGGCCCCCUGAGGGGUGGAGCCAAUGCAUUGUGCAUUCCAAUCUAGAGCAAUGGAGGGCAUGGCUGAGAGUAAAGUAAAUGUGUCUUUCUGCCAUUGGUGCUUUCUGACACUCUCCCAACCAUUGCACUUGGUGGUUAUUUAAAAGCCUAUUGUCUCUCUGCUCCUCAGCAUGUGGAACCACAAUCAUCUGGGCCUCAUCCCAAUUGCUCAAGGGGAAGAUGUAGGCAUUUCGUCUGAGCAGGGUUGGCAAGGUGGAACUGUGCAGGAUGCAGAU